rnacentral:rRNA from 1 species
UCGCGGCCUAUCAGCUUGUUGGUGAGGUAAUGGCUCACCAAGGCGUCGACGGGUAGCCGGCCUGAGAGGGUGACCGGCCACACUGGGACUGAGACACGGCCCAGACUCCUACGGGAGGCAGCAGUGGGGAAUAUUGCACAAUGGGCGAAAGCCUGAUGCAGCAACGCCGCGUGAGGGACGACGGCCUUCGGGUUGUAAACCUCUUUUAGCAGGGAAGAAGCGAAAGUGACGGUACCUGCAGAAAAAGCGCCGGCUAACUACGUGCCAGCAGCCGCGGUAAUACGUAGGGCGCAAGCGUUAUCCGGAAUUAUUGGGCGUAAAGAGCUCGUAGGCGGUUUGUCGCGUCUGCUGUGAAAUCCCGAGGCUCAACCUCGGGCCUGCAGUGGGUACGGGCAGACUAGAGUGCGGUAGGGGAGAUUGGAAUUCCUGGUGUAGCGGUGGAAUGCGCAGAUAUCAGGAGGAACACCGAUGGCGAAGGCAGAUCUCUGGGCCGUAACUGACGCUGAGGAGCGAAAGGGUGGGGAGCAAACAGGCUUAGAUACCCUGGUAGUCCACCCCGUAAACGUUGGGAACUAGUUGUGGGGUCCAUUCCACGGAUUCCGUGACGCAGCUAACGCAUUAAGUUCCCCGCCUGGGGAGUACGG